CAUGAAAUCAUAAAGCUGCCAAUUUAUUAUGACAAUGUAUUUUAACAAUAAAACUUUAAUGCCUGAAAAUUAUAUUGUUCAUUAGAUGUCUUCAAAGGCUGUGAAUUCAUGUGUUAUACAAACAUAACAUGCUGGUAUUCACUGCACAAUCACAGAUGACGUUUCCCUUAUAUAAAACUUCAUUUUACAGCAUAUCUAUCAUAUAAAAUGGAAUUAUGGAAGAAUGGUUGUAGGUUAUUUCAUAUGAAAUAUUACAGACAUCCAUUUACUGGCUCAUUUUACAUAUCAGCACAAAAAUCAAUUUGCAACAGUAAAAAUUAAUGAUUGACAUGAGGAUGAAAUACAUACAGUGGAGUUAUAUUUUUAUAUUUUAACAAGCAAAAUACUGCUGUCACAGAUUUUUUUUUUAAAUUAUAAUAUUGUGGCCUGUAAAUUUAUAAUUUUCUCUAACAUUUGGAUUACA
rnacentral:lncRNA from 1 species